rnacentral:pre_miRNA from 1 species
ACACAAACCUCCUAGGUAUCCUGUUAAAAUGCAGAUUCUGAUUCAGCUAGUCUGGGGUAAGGCCCGAGUCCACCUUUCUAACAUACUCUCAGGAGGAUGCUGAU